AUACUCUCGGCACCACGCACUAUGCCCUGUGUUCAUCGUUUGGCACUUCCUCAUGUUAUUGUUUCAGUGGAGUGUGUUUUGCACCAGUCAGCAGAGCGUUGCCGGUGGACAACUCCGUGGAAGACUCACGCACACUGCGUGGGAGAUGGAGGCCUCAGAGCCCCAGACGCUGCGAGGCAGAGCUGGGCUGUUGCUACAAAGGGACCGCUGCGCAUGGCAGGCCAGCAGAGGCCAACAGACAGCUUUUAAUGAUUAAGCUGCCUACAGAAAAAGCUUUACUGACCACUAGGGUCAUGGAAGAUGGGCUUUAAACCACAAAACUUAAUGACCUUCCUCCAAACCAACUCUCAAGACUCCUUUUGGCUCUGUUAGGUAUAAAGUCUGCAGAUUAUCCCAUCAGCCUUGGCUACAUCUAUCAACAAUAGAAGUCUGAAGCUGGCAAGAGGAGCAGACAGAAGCAGGACGGCAGGGCAUAGCUUUAGACAAGGCUGGAGCAAGACUUCCCAGUGCUGUCAGAUAGACUUUGGUUUGUGUUUUUUUUUUUGUUUUGUUUUUGUUUUUUGUUUUUUACUUAGUUCCUUCACGAUCUUUUCAUUUGUUUUCGGUCAUCAGAUUGAAGCUAAUCCUUUGGGUGUCUAUCAGAGUUGGAUGGACCUAGAAAUAUUAUAAAGGACACCUCCCCUUGCACUUGAAUGUCAUCACAUCCUCUAAGCUUGUUUUCGUCUUCUUUCUAUCUCGGAGCACCCAGUAUCCAUCUCUGAACCACCCUUUAUCAACUUCCAAUAAUUUACAAACUUAUGUAAAUCUAAGCUUGGUUUUGGCACAUUGCCACUCUAACCAAGCUAGAGGGAUUCAAAUGUAACAGAGUUGUGGGUGGGUUUUUGUUUUAAAUCAGCUUGAGGGAAGACCAAAAUAAAAAUGUAAGAAUCCAGAAAGAUGACUCCUCUCAUGGGUGUUUGAAGUAGGUUAGUUCCCAACUUGUUCCAUCACAGUCUCUAUGGCAUGAGGUAGAAGCAGGCAUCUGUUCGCACUUACCUCACAGCAUGGUUUCCCAAGAGCCUAACUCAGUGUCAGCAUCUACCUGGCCUUCAGAGUAUCAGUAAAAUAAUAAACAGAAAACAGUAUUAAAGUAGCAGGAAAGUCAGCUCACAUAAAAAAUUCUUGUAAGAUUUCUUUUGCCUCUAGCCAGUUAAUUAGGUAAGAAGUCUUUAAGAAGUUGUAAUUUGGGCUCAGGUUAAGGUGUGUCUAGAAUAGUGCCUGGCCUUGCCUGAGCUCUCAAUAAAAGUCAGGUGCAUUUUAAGUUGGAGUUUAUGUGAAGUAAGGAGCAUUUGGAGUUAAAGCUGUUCCAGGCAACAGUUGUAAUACCUUCUGUAUCAUUGGCAUAAAAUAGGGCUUUGCAUCAAAUAUUGCUUUUAAUGACUAAAUAGCUUGAUGAAUGUAACAACAAUAAAUAUAAAGCCAUCAGCAAUGCAAACAAAUAGAUUUAGUAUGUAGUGACUUACUUAAAAAUUUACAGUUAUUAGAGAGAAAAUAGAAAUAGCACACAAGAAUGGAAAAUUAAAAAACAAAAAACAAAACUCCAAGGAUCAGAACUUUUUGAGAAAAGAGGAGCUGACCAAAUAGAAAAAAAUAAAUAAAUAAAAAUAAAUCUUUUAAUAGAAAGAAAGAAAAAAACAAAAACAAAAACAACAACAGGAAUGACCUGAAGGCUUUUUUUUUUUUUAACCAGGGUGUUACUUUGUCACACUGUUGGCUUAGAAUUUCCUAUGUAAACCAAGCUGGCUGUGAACUCACAGAAAUCUGUCUACUUUUACCUUCCACAUACUAUGAUUAAAUGCAUAUGCCACUGUACCUAGCCAAAAUUAAGCAUCUUAAUUACAUAUUACCAAGUCAUGGUGCUGAGGAUGCAGCUUAGCUGGUAGAAUGCUUAGCAUGCACGAAGCCCUGGGCUUGGUCACCAGUACCACAUAUCAGCCUCAGUAGCAUAUGCCAGUAAUUUGAGCAUUUGGGAUGUGGAGGCAGGAGGAUCAGAAAUUGAAGGUCAUUUUGUUUUGUUUUGCUUUGUUUACAUAGGGAGUCAAGGCUAGCCUGCUUAGAUACCCUGUCUCAUACAUAACAUAUACAGGCAGCAUGACUGACUAGAAAAACAAUACGGUAAAUUGUAAAUAAUAGAGGAAAGAUAAUGACUUCAAGGAUUAUGCAAGCAAAAGUUAACACAUGGGGAAAAUAGAAGGAGGAUAAGUGGGAAAUUGUUUUAAAGCUGAGACAAAUGUGAGUAAGCCAAAAAUGCUUAUGUAUAACAAAUUACCUCAAACCAUGAUGGUUUUCUGCAGUAAGCCUUUACUGCCUCACACAAUUCUGUUUCCUCAGGUGUCCGGGAGCAACUUAGCAUGGGGGUUCUGUUGUAAGGCUGACAGUACUUCACUGGGGCUGAAAAAGAUCUCAAACACAUGGUUGGGAUCUCCCAUGGGAGCUUUCCUGAAGUUGGUUAAUGAUUUGAGGAUGUGGGCUGCCUUCCUGAGCUGUAUCUAAGAGACUGGAAGCGGCGCUGCAAUGGCCUCUGUGGUUGUUUGAUUAAGGGUGGCCCCCAUAGGCUUAUAUAGUUGAAUACUUGGUUCUCUGUUGGAGGAACUACUGGGGAAGGAUUAGGGGGUGUGGCCUUGUUGGAUUAGGUGUGUCACUGAAGUUUCAAAAUACUCUGACUAUUAUGCUCUCUGCCCCCUGCUGUGGUUAUAGGACGUGAGUUCUUAGCUAUUCCUGCUGUCAUGAUUUUGC